GUGCUCACUUGGACAACACAUAUACUAAAAUUGGAAUGAUGCAGAGAAGAUUAGCAUGGCCCCUGCACAAGGAUGACAUGCAAAUUUGUGAAGCAUUCCAUAUUUUU
ensembl:snRNA U6 U6 spliceosomal RNA